CGGAUAUAUGUCCCNUUAUGACCUGGGCUACACACGUGCUAAAUGGUUGGUACAACGGGAUGCUACCUCGCGAGAGGAUGCCAAUCUCUUAAAACCAAUCUCAGUUCGGAUUGUAGGCUGCAACUCGCCUACAUGAAGUCGGAAUCGCUAGUAAUCGCGGAUCAGCAUGCCGCGGUGAAUACGUUCCCGGGCCUUGUACACACCGCCCGUCACACCACGGGAGUUUGCAACACCCGAAGUCGGUGAGGUAACCGCAAGGAGCCAGCCGCCGAAGGUGGGGUAGAUGACUGGGGUGAAGUCGUAACAAGGUAUCCGUACCGGAAGGUGCGGUUGGAUCACACUCCUACAGU
rnacentral:rRNA from 1 species